rnacentral:snRNA from 1 species
GUACUCACCUCAGCAGUGUACAUACUAAAAUUGGAACUACACAGAGAAGAUUAGCAUGGCUUCUAUGCAAGGAUGACACACAAAUCAUGCAACAUUCCAUAUUUCU